rnacentral:rRNA from 1 species
UACGUAGGGGCCAAGCGUUGUCCGGAUUUAUUGGGCGUAAAGAGCUCGUAGGCGGUUCGGCAAGUCAGCUGUGAAAUCUCCACGCUCAACGUGGAGGGGUCAGCUGAUACUGCUGUGACUCGAGUCCGGUAGGGGAGUGUGGAAUUCCCGGUGUAGCGGUGAAAUGCGCAGAUAUCGGGGAGGAACACCGGUGGCGAAGGCGGGUCACUGGGCCGGAACUGACGCUGAG